rnacentral:lncRNA from 1 species
AGGCCGGGCACGGUAGCUCAUGCCUGUAAUCCCGGCACUCUGAGAGGCUGAGGUGAGCAGAUCACCUGAGCUCAGGAGUUCAAGACCAGCCUGGGCAACAUGGUGAAACCCUGUCUCUACAAAAAAUACAAAAAUUAGCUGGGCACGAUGGCACACAUCUGUAGUCCCAGCUACUCGAGAGGCUGAGGCAGGAGAGUUGCUUGAACAUGGGAGGUGGAGGUUGCAGUGAGCUGAGA